rnacentral:rRNA from 1 species
GACGAACGCUGGCGGCGUGCUUAACACAUGCAAGUCGAGGGGUGUAAGUUUUCGGACUUACAUACCGGCGCACGGGUGCGUAACGCGUAUGCAAUCUACCUUGUACUGGGGGAUAGCCCGAAGAAAUUCGGAUUAAUACCCCAUAGUAUAAUACAAAGGCAUCUUUGAAUUAUUAAAGUUUUUCGGUACAAGAUGAGCAUGCGUCCCAUUAGCUAGUUGGUGUGGUAACGGCAUACCAAGGCUAUGAUGGGUAGGGGUCCUUAGAGGGAGAUCCCCCACACUGGUACUGAGAUACGGACCAGACUCCUACGGGAGGCAGCAGUGAGGAAUAUUGGUCAAUGGACGCAAGUAUGAACCAGCCAAGCCGCGGGCAGGAAGAAUGUCUUAUGGAUUGUAAACUGCUUUUAUACAGGAAGAAACACUGCCAUGCGUGGCAACUUGACGGUACUGUAUGAAUAAGGAUCGGCUAACUCCGUGCCAGCCGCCGCCGUAA